rnacentral:misc_RNA from 1 species
UCCGGUUUGACACCGGCAGUCUCGCUAGAGUCCCCGCCAUGACGCGCUGGCAACUAGCGACAGGGGUUGCGCUCGUUAAGGGACUUAACCCGACACUUCACAGCACGAGCUGACGACAGCCAUGCAGCACCUGUGCACGUUCCACCCGAGGGCGUCACCCUUGUUUCCAAGGACUAAUCCGUGCAUGUCAAACCCAGGUAAGGUUCUUCGCGUUGCUUCGAAUUAAGCAACAUGCUCCACCGCUUGUGUGAGCCCCCGUCAAUUCCUUUGAGUUUUAGCCUUGCGACCGUACUCCCCAGGCGGUGCACUUAACAAUUUCUCUCCGACCGUCACGGCGUCAAAACCGCAACAGUCUAGUGCACAUCGUUUACGGCGUGGACUAC